UACGAGGGGGGCGAGCGUUGUUCGGAAUUAUUGGGCGUAAAGGGUGCGUAGGCGGUUCCGCAAGUCCUGUGUGAAAUCUUCGGGCUCAACUCGAAGUCUGCACGGGAAACUGCGGGGCUUGAGUGUGGGAGAGGUGAGUGGAAUUCCCGGUGUAGCGGUGAAAUGCGUAGAUAUUGGGAAGAACGACCGGUGGCGAAGGCGGCGACCUGGUCCGAUACUGACGCUGAGGCGCGAAAGCGUGGGGAGCAAACAGGAAUAGAUACCCCGGGUAGUCCAAGACCGAAUGAU
rnacentral:rRNA from 1 species